rnacentral:tRNA from 1 species
AUUAGCUCAGCUGGUUAGAGCGUCGUACUAAUAUCUUGUCUUUGAGAUAUCAAGUCCAUGCGAAGGUCAACAGUUCAAUCCUGUUAU